rnacentral:rRNA from 1 species
UACGUAGGGGGCAAGCGUUGUCCGGAUUUAUUGGGCGUAAAGAGCGUGUAGGCGGCCAUACAGGUCCGUUGUGAAAACUGGAGGCUUAACCUCCAGACGUCGAUGGAAACCGUAUGGCUAGAGUCCGGGAGAGGUGAGUGGAACUCCGAGUGUAGAGGUGAAAUUCGUAGAUAUUCGGAAGAACACCAGUGGCGAAGGCGGCUCACUGGUCCGGUACUGACGCUGAGGUGCGAAAGCGUGGGGAGCAAACGGG